UACCUGCUAUACGUCGCCAGUGUCAGCUGAACCAGCGAUUGACGACUUUAGACGCCUUUAGUUUUUUUUGUUUGUGUGCGCCGGGAUAAUUAACUGACUGCGCCAAUCAACUGGAGGACAACGAAGCGACUGUCGUCGCCACGUGCCUCCCUGCUAACCUACAAGGUGAAUCCCGUGCAACCAAGUGAAUGUGUCACUACUCCGGGGAACAACGCAACCACGUGACCGUGGCACUUCUCCGAGGGACAACGGAGCAACCGUCAUCGCUACGUUCGAUCUUCGGCAGUUAUAUUCACCAGGUGGGAUACUAGCUUGCGAGGGUGGCGCGGCCAUUAAAUCAACUAACUGGCAAUGUUAAUUGUUUUCUACUGAUUGGCAAGAGACGGCCGCUGCCACAUUGGGUCGUCGUCGUGACGGAAGCGGAGAGGACUGGGCGGGGCGAUUGUAGCUUUAGGCUUAGCUAACACUUGGAAGGGUAGCUCACGCUGCGCAGGCUCCAGCUGGCAGGGGUCCUCUCUCGUUUGCGACACGGACGUCGGCCCAUUCCGAGUGCUAUUGCUUCCCGGUCAUAUUUUGCGUGUCGGCGCGCGCGAAACGUGGAAGUAAUUUGCACCCGGAAUUAAUUAGUGUCAGGUUUCUUCCAGCAAAACAGAAGAAGAACGGACGUUGCCUACGGUCUGCAGCGCGGUGCGCUGCGGCGAAGACGGUGGUGGGUGGCCGCAUUUUCUUUUUUGUCUUCCGUAUGUUCUCGUCCCUACUGCUGUGUCACGCCGGGCUUUCGUCGCUCGACAAGCUAACCAUCGUGGACUAGUCCCAUCGCCAGCGCGAUGACGCUUGUCAUGGUGAGUACGUGCUUUCUGGUUACUUUCCUCAUUUAUCAAGUGCUCCCCGCAUUUUUUUACGUUUCAGAUCUGCAACCUGUGGCUUGGACCCUGGAACAUGUUCCUGCACCCGGCCGUGCCUCGCACAGAUGACGUUCAGCACCUGUCUGUCGUCUAGCAACUGAUUGUGUCUUCACUUCUGUUCCUGCCUCACUGCUAUUUGUGUCCUGGUGAAUGAAGAUUCCUGCCAUACACGCCCUGCAGAACGUCCAAUGCACUCCGCAUCCUUUGGUGCCAGACGCACGCGACGGAAUUUCCUGCAGCCGGCCGUGUCUCGCACAGAUGAUGUCCAGCACCUGUCGUCCCACGGCUGAUCGCGUCACUUCUGUUCCUGCCUUACUGCUAUUUGUGUCCUGCUGAAUGAAGAUGCCUGAAAUCCAUGCCCUGCAGAACGUCCAUUGCACUCCGCAUCCUUUGGUGCCAGACGCACGCGACGGAAUUUCCUGCAGCCGGCCGUGUUUCGCAGAUAUGUUCAGCACCUGUCGUCCCACGGCUGAUCGCGUCACUUCUGUUCCUGCCUCACUGCUAUUUGUGUCCUGCUGAAUGAAGAUGCCUGAAAUCCAUGCCCUGCAGAACGUCCAUUGCACUCCGCAUCCUUUGGUGCCAGACGCACGCGACGGAAUUUCCUGCAGCCGGCCGUGUCUCGCACAGAUGAUGUCCAGCACCUGUCUUACCACGGCUGAUCGCGUCACAUCUGUUCCUGCCUCACUGCUAUUGGUGUCCUGCUGAAUGAAGAGGCCUGCAAUCCAUGCCCUGCAGAACGUCCAUUGCACUCCACAUCCUUUGGUGCCAGACGCACGCGACGGACUUUCCUGCAGCCGGCCGUGUCUCGCACAGAUGAUGUCCAGCACCUGUCGUCCCACGGCUGAUCGCGUCACUUCUGUUCCUGCCUUACUGCUAUAUGUGUCCUGCUGAAUGAAGAUGCCUGCAAUCCAUGCCCUGCAGAACGUCCAUUACACUCUGCAACCCUUGUCUUGACAUCUGCCGCCCAUCAAGGUCUGCACCACCAGCGUAGUAGGCAAUGACACCAAGUGCAGACCGUAGGGAGGCAGGCGUUUCUCUCGCCACUCAUCGCAGUGCUGCUUCCGAAGUCGUCGUGCUGCAGGAAACGUUCUUCGCUGCCUCGACGAGGUCACACAACUAUGAAGUCCCAAGAAACAGUACGACGUCGCGUGACAUGAAUGCUCAUCUAACAUUACGGUUGGAGCUGUUCGUUCCGCCAUAUAGCAAUAUGACGGCCACUCUAUGAACUCGCAUGUUAUUCAGUGGCUGUGACCGUAUGACGUGAGUACCGAAAAAUCCCAGGUAACAAGCUGUUCUAGCUCUUCGUAGUGGUACACUGCUCCAAAUCUAGCAACUGGGUUGUUCUGGGGAUUCUUGCUUCUUACGCUCAUUGACAUUCUGUGCUUUUGUAAUGGUACACCGAUGCUGCUUUGCGUUGCCGAAUUGCGUGUGUGUGUGUGUGUGUGUGUGUGUGUGUGUGUGUGUGUGUGUGUGUGUGUGUGUGUGUGUGUGUGUGUGUGUCUGUGUGUGCGCGCGCAUUUGUGUGUGUGUGUGUGUGUGUGUG